CUCCUCAAGGAUUUCAGCUUCUCUUUCACUCUACUUGACUAUACAAAUCAAUCCUAAUUCCAAUUGAAUUUUCAACAUAAAAAAUCAGAGAAAUUAAAACCAAUUUUUACUCCCUUUUGCUCCUGCUCCGUGCGAACCACCACCACCCUCAGUGGCUGUUGCCACUGAAACCACCACCAAUCGCCAGCUCCUCCACCAUCUGAACACCAUCGCACCACCAUCAUCCCUCACCUCUCCUGCUAUUCUCCUCCCACGCACUCCCCUGCCUCGCUCUGUCUUUUCCCUUUUGCGGCACCACCAACGUCGCGCCACCACUCCUAACCUCCCCCACCACCUUGUAAACCAACUCCCGCCCCACAUACUCCGGCGAGAUGCCGCCCAGGACAGCCCUAGAACACUCCCAAACUCCCCUGAUUUCUCCCCUGUUCGCGCCCCUCUCCCCCUUCCCUCGCCUGUUUCUGCCGCCUCAAACCACCAUCACCGUCGCCUCUCGGCGCGGUUUCACCGCCCAGGCUGAGCCCCCAGCCUCCCUCCUCUCUUCCUCCUCCUCGUGUUCCUCCUGUUCGUGUUCCCCUGCUGCUCGUGCCCUUCAAUUUCAGAAACAAAGUUUCUGAAAUUGAAACUUUGUUUUAUUCCCCCUUAUUCAAGUUGGGCCAAAUCAAUUGGGCUUUGGAAAUUGGACUCGGAGUUCAGGAAGAACGAUCCAUCGAACAGGAAGUAUAAACUACGGUUGAGGUACGAAGAAGAUCAUGGGAUGCCUUAGAGUGAGGAUGCAACCAUCAAAUUCACGAUCGAUGUUUAAUAAAGAUAACUAUGUCAUUAGUAAUAAAGGGAUGUAUUAAUUAAACUCUAAGUUUGAUUUCACGAUUUGAGUUAGAUUUUUAAAU